rnacentral:rRNA from 1 species
CCUACGGGUGGCAGCAGUGAGGAAUAUUGGUCAAUGGACGAGAGUCUGAACCAGCCAAGUAGCGUGAAGGAUGACUGCCCUAUGGGUUGUAAACUUCUUUUAUAAAGGAAUAAAACGAGGCACGUGUGCCUUUUUGCAUGUACUUUAUGAAUAAGGAUCGGCUAACUCCGUGCCAGCAGCCGCGGUAAUACGGAGGAUCCGAGCGUUAUCCGGAUUUAUUGGGUUUAAAGGGAGCGUAGAUGGGUUGUUAAGUCAGUUGUGAAAGUUUGCGGCUCAACCGUAAAAUUGCAAUUGAUACUGGCAGUCUUGAGUACAGUUGAGGUAGGCGGAAUUCGUGGUGUAGCGGUGAAAUGCUUAGAUAUCACGAAGAACCCCGAUUGCGAAGGCAGCUUACUGGACAGUAACUGACGUUGAGGCUCGAAAGCGUGGGGAGCAAACAGGAUUAGAUACCCGAGUAGUC